rnacentral:lncRNA from 1 species
CUCGGCCCCGGGGGUGGGUCAAGGAUCCUCAGACCCCACUCACCGGCUGGAAGGCGCAGGAGGGUGGGGCUUUGGCGGAUUGAUUGGCAUUUCCUCCCCAUCUCUUCCCUCCUGACCUCCCGAUAGGGUUUCUCCCUGGAUGGUUGACAGGAUGGGACGGAAGCCUCUUGCUGCUGGCACCUCCCAGGAGCAGCAGGCCUCAGAGCUUCUCCACGCAGGCCUCCCACGGUGUUGGAGCAACAGGGGGCCCGGCAGCUGGCCUCCUCACCCUGCUCCACAGAGAGCCAUGUGACGGCCCCGGCUCUGAGAUCAAGACCUCCUGCUCUUAAGAAAACAGAUCAGAGACGUUGGCAUCAAAAUAAAAUAUGUUCAGAGGAAGCAAGUAACCCUGUGAGUAAAACACAGGCCACAGGAUUGAAGCAAAAGGUCUGAGCAGAACCCGGAGCUACAGUGACCAUGAGUUCAAGUUCAUCCUCCCUGGACUCGUCCUUUUGUUUGGAGCACAGCCAAGGAUCUCGCUCUGCCUCUGCACUAGCUGCCUCGUCAAUCCAGCAAAGGCUCCUCUCCAUGGAAGGAGUAGUUCAUCAGAUGCAGCGGGAACAGACUCUUCUCUCCUGGGCCUGCUUGCUCUCGAGCAGCACCUCUGCCACCUCUGCCUUCUGUGCCAAGGAAGUAAG